rnacentral:rRNA from 1 species
CCUACGGGUGGCAGCAGUCGAGAAUCAUUCGCAAUGGGCGAAAGCCUGACGGUGCGACGCCGCGUGGAGGAUGAAGGCCCUAGGGUCGUAAACUCCUGUCAUCAGGGAGUAAUGGCUCACGUAGUAACUGCCGUGAGCAGUGAUAGUACCUGAAGAGGAAGGGACGGCAAACUUCGUGCCAGCAGCCGCGGUAAUACGAAGGUCUCAAGCGUUGUUCGGAUUUACUGGGCGUAAAGCGUCUGUAGGCGGAGUGGUAAGUCAGAUGUGAAAUCCCGGGGCUCAACCCCGGAACUGCAUCCGAUACUGCCACCCUAGAGGGUCGGAGGGGAGUCUGGAAUUCUCGGUGUAGCAGUGAAAUGCGUAGAUAUCGAGAGGAACACUAGUGGCGAAGGCGAGACUCUGGACGACACCUGACGCUGAGAGACGAAGGCCAGGGUAGC